rnacentral:lncRNA from 1 species
AAACCGUGAAGGAGAGAGAGAGAUCUGUACAUAAAGAGAGAAAAAGGGUUGCAUAAAGAGAGAGAAAGGGACCAGUGAGUGGGAGUUGCGGCUACCAUUAACCUUCGUGAGGCAAUCUGUGAUGAUGUGCAACUCUCCUCGUGAUAAGCAGAAGAGUUGAGACAACCCCGCAACCUGUGCGAUUGGAAACCCAGAGGAAUCACGCGACAACUUACAGCUGAAGAAGAGGGAGAUCUAUGGCGGUUGGCCGCACGAUUUCACAUAUUCCUAGCUCCUUUCGGCGUGAUUUCACCAUGUAUGCAUUGGAUCCAAGUGCGUGAAAUGUUUCAUGGUGAAUUUCAGUCGAUUCACAGUGGUUUGCGAUGACGCGCGGUGGUCUAACCACGACGCUCUGGCAGUGGCACGUUGUGAACUAAGGACACACGUGUGGUGUCGCAUGGUGAUUUCGGUGACUUGGAUCGCGUGUUU